GGACUUAUAGUAUAAUUUUAGUAUGUUUAAUUGCAGAUUAAGAGGUUUGAAGUCUU
rnacentral:tRNA from 1 species